CAUGUAGGCGGAUAUUUAAGUCGGAUGUGAAAUCCCCGAGCUUAACUUGGGAAUUGCAUUCGAUACUGGGAAGCUAGAGUAUGGGAGAGGAUGGUAGAAUUCCAGGUGUAGCGGUGAAAUGCGUAGAGAGCUGGAGGAAUACCGAUGGCGAAGGCAGCCAUCUGGCCUAAUACUGACGCUGAGGUACGAAAGCAUGGGGAGCAAACAGGAUUAGAUACCCUUGUA
rnacentral:rRNA from 1 species